GACGAACGCUGGCGGCGUGCCUAAUACAUGCAAGUAGAACGCUGAAGGAGGAGCUUGCUUCUCUGGAUGAGUUGCGAACGGGUGAGUAACGCGUAGGUAACCUGCCUGGUAGCGGGGGAUAACUAUUGGAAACGAUAGCUAAUACCGCAUAAUAGUAGAUGUUGCAUGACAUUUGCUUAAAAGGUGCAAUUGCAUCACUACCAGAUGGACCUGCGUUGUAUUAGCUAGUUGGUGAGGUAACGGUUCACCAAGGCAACGAUACAUAGCCGACCUGAGAGGGUGAUCGGCCACACUGGGACUGAGACACGGCCCAGACUCCUACGGGAGGCAGCAGUAGGGAAUCUUCGGCAAUGGACGGAAGUCUGACCGAGCAACGCCGCGUGAGUGAAGAAGGUUGUCGGAUCGUAAAGCUCUGUUGUAAGAGAAGAACGAGUGUGAGAGUGGAAAGUUCACACUGUGACGGUAUCUGACCAGAAAGGGACGGCUAACUACGUG
rnacentral:rRNA from 1 species